rfam:Chlamydophila felis Fe/C-56 DNA, complete genome.
CGGAAGAGAAAGGCAACCGCUUCCUGUAUCUCUAGUAGAUAUGGUAAGAGGAAAGUCUGGACUUCAUAAGAAGAGAUACUGGAGAAACUCCAGGGGCCGUAAGGCUACGGAAAGUGCAACAGAAAACACUCCGCUAUAAUAUAGACAGGCUGAAAAUUCCUACUUUAAGAGUAGGAGCUAUUAAGGUGACUUAAUAGACGUGCAAACCCUAUCUGAAGCAAGAGAAAAAGUUUUUGUUUCUGCAUAAUGAGGAGCUCUGUUCCUCAUAAACUUUUUCACAAUCGCUUGAGGGAUAUAGUAAUAUAUCCCCUAGAUGAAUGGUUGCCCUCAAGAUGGUCUUUGCCAUCUUGUAGACAGAAUCCGGCUUACUCUCUCUUCCGAUAU